GCCUUCGGGCAUUUGGUCACUUUGAAACGAUACAGAGAAGAUUAGCAUGGCCCCUGCACUAAGG
rnacentral:snRNA from 1 species